rnacentral:lncRNA from 1 species
CCACGAGCGUCGACUCUGCCUCUGGAGAAAUUCGACCCGAAACACAAAAUCCUCCACCGUCAGUUUGGCCGGGUCUGGGUCGCCGUCGAAAUGGAUGUCCCAUUUGUCGAUGCCUCCCCAUCUCGGCUCUCUCCAGUCGUCUCGCCUCUCGUAGGGCGUCGUGUAUCGCCGAGCUCCGCCGUCUCCUGCUGGUUCACGUUCAGGUACCAUCGGUCUCGUUUCCAACUUCCACCCUGCGUGACCAAUAUUGGCUCAGUCUCUCCGGCUUCCUCGGAGGCGCUUGUGGAAUAUGCUCCUGUUGUUCCACGGAAGCUUUGGGUCGGGUGCCGGUACUCUGUCUUCGCCAUUCUGGAGCCUUCGCACCGCCUUCUCUGCCAUUCGGACCAUCCUCCCAGCCCAGAUCCUGGAUCAGCUCUCCCUUCUGGCGCAGGGGCGUCAUUGCCUCCGUUAUGGCACCCAUCAGCUCCAUAAAUCCUCGACGGAUCUCCUCUUGCAGCAUCCUGCUGAUGGUGUCCGCCAUAGCUCCUCUCUGCGUCUCCUGCGCUUGUGCUAUGGCGACGUUUAUGCCCGAAAGAAUUUCCGACGGCAAUUCUUUAGGGUACUUCGGCUGGUUCCAACUGUCGUUCUCUCCUCCUUCUGCGCCCUGUUCCGGCAAGUUUCCUGGCGAAGGAGUCCUGCUAGUCAUUUUCCCCUUUGACCGUAAAUUGUAGUUGCUCAUAAACUUUCUGACCACCUACUUUUCUCUCUUCCACAGAAACUCAAAACUCAAACAAAACCUGACACGGAACUUCAAAUUACUGCAAGAUCAACCUUAAGAGGGGAAAGUAACAACAACUGCUACUGGGGCCAUCUGCACUUGGUUCCCUACGUCUUUGCUUGUCCAACGUCUUCCACUUCUUCGCGAGCGCUGUUGACCUCUCAUCUUAUACAGAAGAUUAAGAGUCAAGGGCGCUCACUCUGCUACCUAGCUGCUUCUGUCCCACUACUCUACUGAAGGAUAGCUUCGGGAUCUUGUAGCUGCUCCAGGUGCAUCGCGUGGCCGACUUAAUGUCCCCACGGGCCACCUCGAGCAAAACAAAUCUCUACGAGAUACUACUUUCCCGGUGU